AGUCAGUCCUGGCUGCUCAGUAGUUUUUCCUCCACAGGUUAACAUCCGAAAAAGAGACAAUUCCCGGAAGGAAGUCCAACGAAGGAUCUCUGCUCAUCAGCCAGGGCCUGAAGGCCAGGAGGAGUCAACUCCGCAAUCAGAUGUUACAGAGGAUGGUGAGAGCCCUGAAGAUCCCUCAGGGACAGAGGGUCAGCUGUCCGAGGAGGAGAAACCAGAUCAGCAGCCCCUGAGCGGAGAAGAGGAGCUAGAGCCUGAGGCCAGUGAUGGUUCAGGCUCCUGGGAAGAUGCAGCUUUGCUGACGGAGGCCAACCUGCCUGCUCCUGCUCCUGCUUCUGCUUCUGCCCCUGUCCUAGAGACUCUGGGCAGCUCUGAACCUGCUGGGGGUGCUCUCCGACAGCGCCCCACCUGCUCUAGUUCCUGAAGAAAAGGGGCAGACUCCUCACAUUCCAGCACUUUCCCACCUGACUCCUCUCCCCUCGUUUUUCCUUCAAUAAACUAUUUUGUGUCAGCUU
rnacentral:lncRNA from 10 species